CAAUAGCGUAUAUUAACGUUGUUGCAGUUAAAAAGCUCGUAGUUGGAUUUCUGGAGGGAGCGUCGGCCCGUAUUUACGAGUGCGUGACGUCUCUGUCCAUCCUUGCGGGAAGGCACGGCAUUGAUUUGUUGUGUCGGAUCGCAUCAUUUACUGUGAAAAAAUUAGAGUGUUCAAAGCAGGCUUUCGCUUGAAUACAUUAGCAUGGAAUAAUAAGAUAGGACUUUGGUGCUAUUUUGUUAGUUGAGCCUAAAGUAAUGAUUAAUAGGGAUAGUUGGGGGCACCUGUAUUGCGUUGUCAGAGGUGAAAUUCUUGGAUUUACGCAAGACAAACAGCUGCGAAAGCGUCUGCCAAGGAUGUUUNCAUUAA
rnacentral:rRNA from 1 species